rnacentral:lncRNA from 1 species
AUUGUUCAGUACUAAGAGAUAGUAUCCCUUGAUAUAACAUGUAAACAGAAAUAAAAAGAGACUGUAAAAUCCAGGAAGAUAUCUCUGUGAGAUUAACUCACUCUUGCUUGCUUGUUUUUUGGUCCAACAUGACAUCUAUGCCUUUCUGGUAAGAUUAAAUAGACCAGCUGCAAUGCAUAGGCUAGAGAACUGUUUCUGUUCAGGAAAGGGAUAAUGAAGCUUACUUGGGAUGCAGAAUCUCUAACUCGGUCUGAUGGAAGUUUUUGAGGGUGUUUUCUCCCAUUUCUCAAGGAAAUAUUGUGACCACCAGGAUAAACUGGAAAGAAAGCUUCAACCUCUUUCAACCAGUCUGCUUUAAGAAGACUGUUGAUGUCAAGUGGAGAGUGGUACUCUCUUCAGCUUGGAUUCAUACCUGCCUUUCUGUGUCUCCCAUGUUACACCUGGAACCACUACUUGUUCAACAUCCCCACUGACAGCAAGAGGACUGCUUCAGCUGUAACUGUUCACAGUUAUGAGGUAUCCUGUCUGAAUCCUUAAGGACACACAAGGGCACUGCUGUAAUCAAUGGAAGUUGGGAAAAUGGUUUACGUAAUGUGGAAAUGCUUUUAUUUUGACUGUUCAUGCAAAAUCCCCUUGACACUCCAGCAUGCUUUUGAGCCUUUGAAUGCAAUAACUUUAUUUCCUAGUCAUGUCUUCCAAUGAGUAAAGAAAAUUUCAGGAUCGUGAUUCUAAUCCGUGAUUCUAAUCUUGGACAUAUCCCUUUGUCCCCAGGAAGCCCAUGACAAACAGAAGCUAAAGGUCUGACCAUGGUUUAUACUGGCAAGCAAUCAUGAUUCUUCUGAUACAGCAGCUUUUGGGGAACUCCUACAGAAUCUCACAGUACCUUAAAAAUGACAGCCUGGAAUGUGUACAUAUUUUCUCGCUAUCUUUGAAGUUAAUCAAUGUAGUUUAGUACAAGUCCUUUAGCAUGUAAUGUUGAUCCUUGUUAAGGUGAUUUUUCCUUUCUAGUGCACUUCAAGCAAAGUACAUUUGACAUUAGCACUGUUGGAUAAUCUUAGGCCCCUCAGUUUGAAUAUUUAAAGAAGGAUGUAAAAUAUCUUACUGAGAUGAAUCUUGUAAUGUUGGUAAAUUUAAAAACAGAACAAAACAAAACAAACAAAUAAAAAAACAAAAAACAGGUAUUUCA